rnacentral:rRNA from 1 species
AGCGAACGCUGGCGGCAGGCCUAACACAUGCAAGUCGGGCGCCCCGCGAGGGGAGCGGCAGACGGGAGAGUAACACGUGGGAACGUACCCUUUGGUUCGGAACAACCCAGGGAAACUUGGGCUAAUACCGGAUAAGCCCUUACGGGGAAAGAUUCAUCGCCGAAGGAUCGGCCCGCGUCUGAUUAGCUAGUUGGUGGGGUAACGGCCCACCAAGGCGACGAUCAGUAGCUGGUCUGAGAGGAUGAUCAGCCUCACUGGGACUGAGACACGGCCCAGACUCCUACGGGAGGCAGCAGUGGGGAAUAUUGGACAAUGGGCGCAAGCCUGAUCCAGCCAUGCCGCGUGGGUGAUGAAGGCCCUAGGGUUGUAAAGCCCUUUCGGCGGGGAAGAUAAUGACGGUACCCGCAGAAGAAGCCCCGGCUAACUUCGUGCCAGCAGCCGCCGUAAAAC